AGUAACGCGUGGGUAACCUGCCUCAUACAGGGGGAUAACAGUUAGAAAUGACUGCUAAUACCGCAUAAGCGCACAGUGCUGCAUGGCACAGUGUGAAAAACUCCGGUGGUAUGAGAUGGACCCGCGUCUGAUUAGCUAGUUGGUGGGGUAACGGCCUACCAAGGCGACGAUCAGUAGCCGGCCUGAGAGGUUGAACGGCCACAUUGGGACUGAGAUACGGCCCAGACUCCUACGGGAGGCAGCAUG
rnacentral:rRNA from 1 species